rnacentral:rRNA from 1 species
GACGAACGCUGGCGGCGUGCCUAAUACAUGCAAGUUGAGCGCUGAAGGUUGGUACUUGUACCAACUGGAUGAGCAGCGAACGGGUGAGUAACGCGUGGGGAAUCUGCCUUUGAGCGGGGGACAACAUUUGGAAACGAAUGCUAAUACCGCAUAAAAACUUUAAACACAAGUUUUAAGUUUGAAAGAUGCAAUUGCAUCACUCAAAGAUGAUCCCGCGUUGUAUUAGCUAGUUGGUGAGGUAAAGGCUCACCAAGGCGAUGAUACAUAGCCGACCUGAGAGGGUGAUCGGCCACAUUGGGACUGAGACACGGCCCAAACUCCUACGGGAGGCAGCAGUAGGGAAUCUUCGGCAAUGGACGAAAGUCUGACCGAGGAACGCCGCGUGAGUGAAGAAGGUUUUCGGAUCGUAAAACUCUGUUGGUAGAGAAGAACGUUGGUGAGAGUGGAAAGCUCAUCAAGUGACGGUAACUACCCAGAAAGGGACGGCUAACUACGUG